rnacentral:lncRNA from 9 species
ACACUGGCUUGAUUUACUGUAGCUUUGUAGUAAGUUUUGAAACUAGGAAGUGUGACUACUCCAUCUUUGUUCUUCUUUUUCAAGAUUGUUUGGCUCUUCUGGGCCCAUUGCACUUAACACCUAAAUUUUAGGAUCAACUUUGAUUUCUGCAAAAAAAAGGUACCUGGGAUUUUGAAAGGUAUUGUGCUGACUCUGUAAAUCAGUCUGGGAGAUAUUGCAUUUUAACAAUAUCAAUUGUUCCAAUCCAUGAAUAUGCACUGUCUUAACACUUAUUUAGAUCUUUAAUUUUUUUCAACAAAAUUUUAUACUUUUCAAUUUAAAAGUCUUGCAUUUUUUUGUUACAUAUUACUAAGUAUUUUAUUCUUUUAGAGAGUGGGAUGGGAAUAGGGCAAGUGAAAACACCACAAAACUCACUGUUUUCACAGAGAUUUAGUCAUUUUUAUUGAAUAAAUGCUCUUCCAAUUGUUGUAAAUUGUUAAUUUGCAAAGUUUUGAAACAACCAUUCUUGCCAGUGUUCUCACUUCUUUCAUGGAGGAGUGGAUUUUCUGAAUUUUUUCUGACAUACCAGAAAUCAGAACUGUCUAUUAUUUAUACCACUGUCUUAUUUUAGUUAUCUGCCUGGUCUCCGAGGACAUUUGAGACAUCAAGGCAGGUGACUCAAACAGAGAGGUAUGACACAGAAGUUCAUCAGGUCACCAGGCAUCGUCAUGGCCAACGAGGUUAUAUUAACAGAUAUAUUGGGUUAAAGUUACCAAUAUGGAGGCCACAGGUAGGGUAGUGUCAAGGAGUCAUACUAGGAGUUGUUCCUCAGUGAACUGAAAGUCAAAGAGCCAUGAAGUGGCCAAUAAUCAGGUUUGUUUCUUGAUAGAGGCUCAAACCAAGAGGAAUAUCAUUACACCCCAAAUCUAGGAGAGACAAAUGCAUCUCAAAUGUCAACAUUAAUCAAUUCAUAGUUGUGACCUGGAGCUCGGUGUUGAGAAGACUCUAAUCACAUGUGGGCUUAGUGCCAAUCACUGAAUCAAUCAAUCAGAUCAACUAGAAAAUAAUGGCCACUCAAAUAGGGUGAAAGAGGAGAUUAAAGGGAUUAUUUAGGGAACUAUGGACAGAGUUAAAGGAAGUUAAUUAGGAGGGUCUUGUACUAUAGGCCAGAAAUAGUGAUUGCUGCUCUGAAGCCUGAACAACCUUCAUUCAGCAGGAUUGAUUAAAGAAAUGAGGGUUUUAGUGACUGAUGUAGAGUGGUUUUGUUUUUUUUUGGGGGGGGGCACACCUGUGGCAUAUGGAGGUUCCCAGGCUAGGGGUCUAAUUGGAGCUAUAGCUGCCAGCCACAGCCACAGCCACAGCCAUGCCAGAUCUAAGCCAGAUCUGUGACCUACACCACAGCUCAUGGCAAUGCCAGAUCCUUAACCCAUUGAGCGAAGCUAGGGAUCAGACCUACAACCUCAUGGUUCCUAGUCAGAUUCGUUUCUGCUGCGCCAUGACAGGAACACCUAGAGUUCUUUUUUUGGCCACUUCUUGUACCAUAACUGAGGUAGGUUGUAAUAAAAUCCAUACUUUUCCUUAAAAAUUUCAGAAUCUCUUGAUUGUAAAUGCUUGGGUAUAUUUUUAUAGGUGAACAAAUGCAAUUUAUUAUUAACUUCUAUCAAACAUUCCAACUCCAUCUAAUAUAUGAGAGAUUCUAAAUUACCAAGGAGCUGCACUAUAGAUUUAAUUAUCUUGCUGAAUCCUUACCACAAAUAAAUCAGCAUUGCAUUGUUUGAAAGCCCCCAAGACCACUCUCACUUCUGACACUAACUGCAAAUUUGAGGGUACCCAAGAUCCACCUCAGGUUCAAUAAUUUGCUAUGACCCGCGGAACUCACUAGAAGCUCUUAUACUCACAGUUAUAAUUUACUACAGUGAAAAGAUAGACAUUAAAAUCAGCAGAGACAAGAGGCACAUAGGCCAGUGUCAGGAGAGAUCUAAGCAUGACCUUCCAGUCUUCCCAGUGGAUUUGUGGACCCUGGUAGCUUCUCUUAGAAAUGCAUGAUAGAUACAUGAAGUAUUGCCAACUAUGACCCUUACCUGAGUUUUUGUGUCCAGAGUUUUUGUUGAGGUUGGUUGUAUAGUCAUGGUUAACUGUCUGUAUGGCUGACCUUAAUUCUCCAGCCCCUUCAGAGGUCAAACUAAUAUUGCAUGGUCCAAGACCUCCCACCAUAAGUCACGUGUUGCAUAGACCAUCUGGUGUUGUCUCCAGGUUCCCAAGUAAAUAAAGACACUCUUAUCAGGCAGGAUGUCCCAAGUAUCAGAAGUUACGUCACAGGAGCCAAGGGCAAAGGCUAGCUCCUUAGACAAGUUUAAUCCUUUACCACACAAGUAUGUAGAGUUAUAGAAUCGUAAUUUAAAAAACAGAAUGGGGGAUUCCUUCAAGCAGGCAGACAUCUGAUAGGGAUUUUCCUAUUGUCCUUGUAGCUCAUUGAUAUUUAGUGUAUGUAAGAACUAUUAUACACAAAAUUUUGCAUGCUGGACAUCCUGGGAUAUGUGAGGGAAUUUCAAGGGACUUUUUACUUUACAGCUUAACUUAUAAAAAUAUCUUGUCACUAUACCUAAUUCCCACCACAAUGAAAUACAUAAGCAGCUGCUGCUAUAAAGAAAUAAAAACAAAAGCAAACAAAAACACCCUAAAUAAAGAAAUUGUUUUUACAAAAGAAUAUAAUCUGGAAAUUGAACUUCUGCUACAGUUACAAUUUACAUUAUAGCCAUGAACAAGUUCCUGUUGUGGCUCAGCAGGUUAGGAACCCAACUAGUGUUCAUGAGGAUGCAGGUUUAAUCCCUGGCCUCACUCAGUGGAUUAAGGAGCUGGUGUUGCUAUGAGCUGUGGGGUCAAAUUGGAGCUGCAGCCACCAACCUAUGCCACUGCCAUAGUAACGCCCGAUCUGAGCCAUAUUUGUGACCAACACCACAGCUCACAGCAAUGUCAGAUCGCUGACCCACUGAGCAAGGCCAGGGAUUGAACUGCAUCUUCACAGACACCGGUUGGGCUCAUUUCUGCUGAGCCACAGCAGGAAUUCCCUGUCCUUAUUCUUGAAUUAGACUUUAGUUAAGCAUGGAAUUCUAUGUCGACCAUAAUUGCCUUCAGCAUUUUCAAGAUAUUACCCCACUAUCUUGCACCUAUUGUUGUGGGUGAGAAGUCCAUUGCCAUCAUGAUUGUCUUGCCUUUAUAGGCAAGAAUCUCUUUUCUCUAUUUGCUAUUAAAGCUUUUUCUCUUUACACCUGAUGUUUUGUGGUUUCACUAUUACGUGUCCAUUUCAUUUCAUUUUUCUAGCACAAAAUUGUUUGUUCCUUCAACUUGAAGGCUCUCAUUUUUCUUCAAUCCUAGAAAAUUCUCAACCAUUUUCUAGAAUAAGGUCCUGCUGCAAGCGAUACAAAGAAACAAGCAAAGCCCAGAAAACCUCUAAGUUAGUGUGGCUUAUACAAGAUAGAAAUUUCUUUCUCACAUAAAUUAGGUCUUCCAGGUAGUGUCUGAUGAUGUCAGGGGUUCAGGGACUCUUCUAUUUUAUUGAUCCACUAUCCUCAGCAAGCACAUUCUCUACUCAAACUUAAACUAUAACAUCUGCAUUCCAGUUGCUAGGAAGGAAGAAGUACAGAGACGUGCCUACCUCCUCCUUAUAAAUACAUUUCUGGCAGUUGUAACUGCUGUUUUAGUUACAUCUCAUACAUAGUCAUAUGGUCAAUCUAGAUACAUGGGAAGCUGGCAAAUACUGUCUUUAGUUGGGCAGCUGAAUUCCCAGCUAAAACUGGGUGAUUCUAUGAAUAAGGCAGAGGGGAAGAUCGGUUCCUGGGAACAACUAGUAGUCUCAAGCAUAGCCAUUUUUAUGAUUGCAAAUUUCUCUCACAUAUUCUCUAUUAUGUCUCUCUGAAACUCUUAGUAAUGUUCUAUUCUCUUUGCCUCUUUUUAAUGUUAUUUUUGUGUUACUUUCUGUGAGAGUUCUUCAGCUCUCAUUCCAAUUUACUGAUUUCCUUCCUUCCUUCCUUCCUUCCUUCCUUCCUUCCUUCCUUCCUUCCUUCCCUCCUUCCUUCCUUCCUUUCUUUCUUUCUUCACCAUGCCUGCAGCAUAUGGAAGUUUCCAGUCCAGGAAUUGAAUCUGAGCCAUAGCUGUGAUCUACGCUACAGCUGUGGCCAGAUCCUUUAACCCACUGCUCCAGGCAAGGGAUCAAACCUGUGACUCCAUAGCAACCCAAGCUGCUGCAGUCAAAUCCCAAACCUACUGUACCACAGCAGGAACUUCAAAUACCUUCUCUCUCUUUUUAUUUUUGGCUGUACCCACAGCACAUGGAAGUUUUAGGUUCAGUUUUUUUAGUAUAGUUUUUAUUCUCUUAUGUCUCAAAUCAUUCAAGAAUACUUACUUCAUAGUCUCUUUGCUCUGUAUCUGUAAUUCUUGGGGGAUAAAUUCUGCUAACUUCUUCCCAUAGAAGACAUAGAUAUAUAGAUACAGAUAUACAACAUAUACACACGUAUGUAUGUAGAUAUCUGUAUAUAUGUGUAUGUGUGUGUACGCACAUGUGUAUUUUUUUCAUCUCAUCUUGGGUAUUUCUAUGUUUCAUGGUUGUAGGAUUGUAAAGUUUAUGAUGGAGCAAUUUUGUUUUGUCUCUACCAGUGUCCUUCACGUUUCCCUGGUUCAAACCAGUUUUUCUGUUGCUACCUCAGUUUGAGUUUCCUGCACUGUUCAUGAAUACACAUUUGGCCCCUACUCUUGCGUAUAGCUCAGUUUGGGAGGUAUUUCAUGUGGGUGGUAAUCAGUCACUUUCUCCCCUAAUUCUCAGGCUAAUGGGAGGAUAUAUUCUAAAAUACUUUUCACAGCACAAAAGCUAUUCUGGAAUCCUGGUUCUAUGCUCAGCUCCAACUCCACUGCUCUUGGGAUCUCAAUUCCCCUUCCAGCUCAGCUCAGCUAUUAAAAUCCCAGGUCCUGGAGUUCCUGUAGCAGUUCAGUGGAAAUGAACCCAACUAGUAUCCACGAGGAUGCAGGUUCAAUUGUUCUAUCCCUGGCCUCAUUCAGUGGGUUAAUGAUCCGGUAUUGCUGAGAGCUGUGGUGUAGGUUGAAGUCAUGGCUCAGAUCAAGCACUGCUGUGGCUGUGGCAUAGGCUGGCCCCCAGCCUGGGAAUUUCCAUAUGCCAUAGUUCUAGCCCUUAAAAAAGAAAUUAAAAAAAAAAAAAAGGAAAAAAAAAA